GUGAUGCGAUCGGCCCUGAGUUAUGACCUCACUGCAGGACCGGGCAGUCCGGGCUGCUCUGGAGGAGGAACAAAAGCAGCUCCUGCUUCAACCCAAGUGGGCUCUGUGCUUCGAGACAGUGGGAUUUGUCCUGGAGCAGAGAGGAAGAAUAACAUCCCCCAGGAAAAACCCUGUAACAUGAGGAAGUAUGUUUCUUGGGGCGUUUCUCACCUCAUCAGAUGAAGGUGUCUAUAACAGUAAUGCCUUUAUCAGUGUUCAUCAUUUGGAGUCUCUGCAUGCUCAGUGAAUAGCAACAGACACAUAUAUAAUAUGAUUCAUAUAAUGACAAAGAAGCUGUCUAAAA